rnacentral:lncRNA from 1 species
GGGACAAGCACUGUAAUUCCUUUUACAAGAAAAAAAUUUCCAAAAAUAUCAUGUAUCAUAUACAGAAGAUAAAAGUACAUAUAGUUUUCCGUCAAGAUGUCAAUCAGAACCUAAAAUAUUGAUGGACUUAAAAAUCCAAACCAAAAUAUGGUAUUACUACGUGGCACUUAUUGUUUACAAAAUUUAUUAUAGAAUAUUAAAAUUAUUGCCAACGUAAUAACAUAUAGGGUCACAGACAGAGAACAAUUAAAGGAAUCUUAAUUUAUAUAACUAGAUAUAUAAGACUUGUAUAGACUUUUCAUAUGCAUGCUAUUAAAAUAUCUCCUCUGUUGUGGCACAUUGACGGAUGCUAAAACUGCAUCAAAAUUAAUCGAGAAAUGCAACCUCCUACAGCCUAAUUCUAAUUUAUCUCACUUCAUCUCUGGCCGACUUGUUAAUGCUAGUCCAGUCUCUAGUUCUAGUCUACAUACAAUGAUGUCCACCGAUGACAACACCAUGCUGCUUUCUAUGUUCACCCAUAACUGAUGGACACAGGUAAUGAUUAAAAUCCAGUCCUUUUUGCUGCAACAUUUUGUAAAUAAAACAUACUUGGGAAGUUCCAUGACUACUUAAGCUACAGAUAAAAAUCUCUCACAUGUACAGUUAGAUGAAUCGAUGUAUGUCAAUAUAAUUAUCAUUACAGUAUAAUGUAGCUGUUAUUUAGUAGUUGUAUAUAGCUGCUAUUUACUAGCUGUAAAUCAGUGAUUUGUGCAGUUGUAUUAGGCUUGACUUAGGCUAAUAAUUGGGGAUUCUGUAGGCUGAUUUCCAGGCAGAUAUAGUGAGAUCUGCUUGCUGAUUUUUAGCGCUAAUUAGCUCUGCUGUACCUAUAAAUACAGGAGCUUGUUUGUAUAACAAAUCAUCGGAGAAAUAUAAGCUUUUUCUCAUAUCUUUGUCAUGGUAUCAGAGCUGGUUAUUUGAAAAUCUGCUCUUGUACUUCUUGUCCACCUUAAUAAUCAGUGUUUUUUUUUAGUCAUCUUUCUUGGAAUUCAUCUCUUGGUUCUUGUUUUUUUUCGAAUCAUGUCAUUGGAGCAAUCUAACAACUUUCUUGUUCGUUUUAAUGGGAAGAACUACUCUGCUUGGUCUUUCCAAUUUGAGAUUCUUGUCAAGGGAAAAGAAUUAUGGGGCUUUGUUGAUGGAACGGAAUCUGCACCUGACUCCAAAGAAAAGGAGAAACUUGCGAAAUGGAAGGUGAAGGAUGCUCAGAUAAUGUCUUGGAUUCUCGGGAGCAUGGAACCGUCUAUGAUUCUCAAUCUCAGGCCUUACAAGUCUUCUAAAGAUAUGUGGGGUUACUUGAAGAAAGUUUACAAUCAAAGCAACGCCGCCCGACGUUUUCAAUUAGAGCUUGAGUUGGGACAACUAAGUCAGGGAAGCAUGACAAUUCAAGAGUUUUAUUCUUCUUUUGAGAAUUUGUGGAAUGAAUACACUGAUAUUGUGUAUGAGAGUGUUUCUGCUGAAGGACUAGUUGCUGUCCAAAGUGUACACGAGACGAGCAAACGUGAUCAGUUUUUAAUGAAAUUGCGGGGAGAUUUUGAACCAGUCAGGUCCAACCUCAUGAAUAGAAAUCCAGUUCCUUCAAUCGAUACUUGCAUAGGUGAGCUUUUUCGAGAAGAACAACGGCUCAUGACACAAACUUUCAUCGAUCAGAAAUCACAGAAUUCUUCUCCAAUUCCUGUUGCAUAUGUUGCCCAAGGAAAGCAUAGAGGUGGAAGAGAUAUGAGUAAUAUCCAAUGCUACAGUUGCAAAGGAUUUGGACAUGUUGCUACUAAUUGCACUAAAAAAUUCUGCAAUUAUUGCAAGAAAGCUGGGCAUACUAUUAAAGAUUGUCCAAUCCGGCCUCCGAAGAAAUCUGAGACUGCUUACAAUGUCUCAGUUGGAUCCUCAAAUGCUCCGAACUUUGGUCAGUCCUCUGUUACUCCUGAAAUGAUCCAGCAGAUGAUAGUUAAUGCAUUUUCAACUUUAGGAAUUUCAGGUAACAAAAAUUCUGCCCAUAAGCCUUGGUAUUUUGAUUCCGCUGCUUCAAAUCACAUGACUAGCACAACAGUACCCCUAAAUAAUGUUCAAAAGUAUAAAGGGGAUCUUCAUAUUCAAACUGCUGAUGGUAACUCUUUACCUAUUACUGCUGUUGGUGAUAUUUCAACCUCUCUGAAUACAGUUUUUGUGUCCCCAAAGUUGUCUACUAAUCUUAUAUCUGUUGGCCAGUUAGUUGAUAACAAUUGCACCGUUCAAUUUUCAAAUUCUGGUUGUUUUGUGCAGGAUCAAGUGUCAGGGAAGAUGAUCGCGAAGGGGCCUAAAGUGGGACGUCUCUUUCCUUUACUCCCAUCACCUUCUCUAGUGUCAAAUUAUGUCUCUUGUAAUGCCGUUGAUUGUAAUAAUCAAGUGUGGCAUAAGCGGUUAGGACAUCCAAAUUCUCAUGUUCUUAGUAUUUUACUUAAAUCUGGUUUGCUUGGGAAUAAAGUUUCGAAUUCUUCAAAUACAGACAAUAUUCAUUGUGCAUCUUGCAAACUUGGUAAAAGCAAAACACUUCCUUUUCCAUCACGUAAAUCUCACACCACCAAAGCUUUUGAACUUGUGCAUACAGAUGUAUGGGGUAUUUCACCAGUGGUAUCUCAUCAACAUUACAAGUAUUUUGUAACUUUUAUAGACGAUUUCUCUCGUUAUACUUGGGUAUAUUUCCUUCGAUAUAAAAGCGAGGUCUUUAAAGCAUUUCAAACUUUCCAUGCUUUAAUCGAGACACAAUUUUCUGCAAAAAUCAGAAUUUUGCAAUCUGAUUCGGGUGGUGAAUAUACAUCAAAUGAAUUUCAAUCUUUCCUUCAAAAUCAUGGAAUCAUAUCACAACGAUCUUGUCCAUCAACUCCACAACAAAAUGGUGUGGCCGAGAGAAAGAAUCGUCAUCUUCUUGAUGUCGUUCGAACUCUCCUCAUCGAGUCUUGUGUUCCAUCUCAUUUUUGGUGUGAAGCCCUGUCUACUGCUGUUUAUUUGAUAAACAGAUUACCAUCUCCCACCUUAAACAAUGAAUCUCCCUACCUCCGUUUAUAUGAAGAUGCACCAGAUUAUUCUGAUCUUCAUAUUUUCGGAUGUGUUUGUUUUGUUCUUCUUCAGCCACAUGAAAGGAACAAACUUACUGCACAAUCUGUCAAGUGUGCUUUUUUAGGAUACGGUGGUACCCAAAAAGGUUUUCUUUGCUAUGAUCCUAAUACUCGUCGUAUUCGUGUGUCUAGAAAUGUAAUUUUCUUUGAAAAUCAGUCAUUUUUUUGCACACAAAUGACUUCACAACUCCCAUCGAUAGCUAUAUUGCCUCAUUUUCCCGAGUCAUCAGCCCCAUCACAAAGAUUUAAACCAGGUCAUGUUUAUCAUAGACGCACAUCUCCCACUAUGGCUCCUGCGACUCUUUCGGACGCACCUGAUCCUGUUCUACCGAGUUCCAAUGAUCCACCUCCUGUUCGGAGAAGCUCUAGAAAUUCAAAACCUCCCGACAGGUAUGGUUAUACAAAUCCAGUAGCCAUGUCCACUACUUUAUCUCCCAUCUCUAUUCCCACUUGUUAUAAACAGGCUAUGGAACAUGAGUGUUGGCAACAAGCAAUGGAAACAGAACUUCAAGCUCUUGCAGAAAAUCAUACUUGGGACGUUGUUUCCUUGCCUCCAAAUGUUAAGCCAAUUGGUAGCAAGUGGGUUUAUAGUAUGAAACUCAAGUCUGAUGGCUCAUUAGAUCGAUACAAAGCUCGGCUGGUUGCACUUGGCAAUAAACAAGAAUAUGGUAUCAACUAUGAAGAGACAUUUGCACCAGUUGCUAAAAUGACCACUGUAAGAACCAUUCUUGCUGUUGCUUCCUCUAAAUCUUGGCCUUUACAUCAGAUGGAUGUCAAAAAUGCUUUUUUGAAUGGGGAUCUUAAAGAAGAAAUUUACAUGAAACUUCCACAUGGCAUGGCAUGGAUAGCUCCAAAUAAAGUUUGCAGGUUAAGGCGCACUUUGUAUGGGUUGAGGCAGUCUCCUAGAGAAUGGUUUGAUAAGUUUCGCCAUACUCUCAUCAACUUCUCUUUUACACAAAGCCAAUAUGAUUCAUCUCUCUUCUUUCAUAAGACACAAGAAGGUAUGGUCUUUCUUCUGGUCUAUGUCGAUGAUAUAAUCAUCACAGGCAGUGACACUGUGCUCAUAUCAAAACUCAAGAAUAUGUUGCAUAGUACAUUUCAAAUGAAGGAUCUUGGGGAUCUUAAGUAUUUUUUGGGUCUAGAAGUUCAUUCUCGAGAUCAAGGUAUAUUCUUAAAUCAGCAUAAAUAUGUCAGAGAUCUUAUUGAGUUGGCUGGUUUAAAGGAGGCUACUGCUGUUGAUACACCAAUGGAAGUGAAUGUUAAAUAUCGAAAAGAUGAAGGGGAGCUUUUGCCUAAUCCUUAUUUAUAUAGACAAUUGGUUGGUAGCCUCAUCUAUCUAACAAUUACUAGGCCUGAUAUCUCAUAUGCUGUCCAUAUAGUUAGCAGAUUUAUGCAAUCACCUCGGCAUCUUCAUCUUGUUGCAGUGAAGCGUAUUAUUCGAUAUUUAAUUGGGUCACCUACGCGUGGUCUAUUCUUUCCAAAAAAUUCUGAUCUUCAUUUGACAGCAUAUAGUGAUGCUGAUUGGGCUGGAUGUCCGGAUACUAGAAGAUCUACAACUGGAUGGUGUACUUUUCUUGGAGAUGCAUUGAUCUCUUGGAAGUGUAAAAAGCAAGAUCAUGUCUCAAAAUCUUCCACGGAGGCUGAAUAUAGAGCCAUGUCUGCAGCUUGUGCUGAAAUUGUUUGGUUACGUGGCCUUCUUUCCGAGCUUGGAGCUUCUCAAAUUAAUCCUACUCCACUCCAUGCUGAUAACAAAAGUGCCAUUCAGAUAGCUUCCAAUCCAGUAUUUCAUGAACGAACAAAACACAUCGAAGUUGAUUGUCAUUAUAUCAGAGAUGCAUUUACUCGUGGUGUUAUUGAACUUCCUCAUGUUAGUACUAAUCUUCAAACAGCUGAUGUGUUUACAAAAGCUUUGACACGUCAACGGCACAAGUUUCUUAAUGGCAAAUUGAUGCUACUAGAUUUACCAGCAUCAAUUUGAGGGGGGGUGUCAAUAUAAUUAUCAUUACAGUAUAAUGUAGCUGUUAUUUAGUAGUUGUAUAUAGCUGCUAUUUACUAGCUGUAAAUCAGUGAUUUGUGCAGUUGUAUUAGGCUUGACUUAGGCUAAUAAUUGGGGAUUCUGUAGGCUGAUUUCCAGGCAGAUAUAGUGAGAUCUGCUUGCUGAUUUUUAGCGCUAAUUAGCUCUGCUGUACCUAUAAAUACAGGAGCUUGUUUGUAUAACAAAUCAUCGGAGAAAUAUAAGCUUUUUCUCAUAUCUUUGUCAGACCGAGGUGCAAGGUCUGCCAUUUUCUAUAUGCUCAUCAAAGGGCACCAAAACAAAUCUCAUCAUAUGCUUUUUCAGGUCAGAAAACCAUAUGUAUAGCC